UAUUGUUUUAAAUGAAUGGUUAAUGUCUUGGUGUACUGAACAGAAGCUGCUCUUUAUAAAUAAUUGGAAUCUUUUCUGGGAGCGACCUAGGCUCUUCCGUGCUGAUGGCCUGCACCCCAGCAAAAUCGGAGCUGAUCUUCUGUCGGAGAACAUCUCCAAGACGCUUCGCACCGUAUGACUAAGAGUACAUCAGUUUCAGUUUGGAUCCAGCCUCUUAAGAAGACCUCAGAUGACUAAAACUUUGGAAGAGACGGCGCCAACUCCUGCGAUGACUUCAGAAGAUGCAACAUCUGGAUCAACACGCACAUUCACAUUCUAUAAAUCCUAAUUAUUGUUAAUAUGUAAUUCAUUUUUCCAGGAGCUCUUUGCUUCUACCUCCAAUUACAUUGCUAACAGUGAUUGUAUGUUAAUCGCCUAAAUUAUUACAUUAUUAGCUAACUGCAGUCUCCAAAUUGUAAUGUUGAUAUGCUUUCUCUGUAAAGCUGCUUUGAAACGAUAUGUAUCGUGAAAAGCGCUAUACAAAUAAAUGUGAAUUGAAUUGAAUUGAAAAUUGAA